UAGGGUCUGUGUUUGUUGCUUUAGUCUUU
rnacentral:piRNA from 1 species